UCAAAACUGCAUCCCUUGAGUAUCGGAGAGGCAAGUGGAAUUCCUAGUGUAGCGGUGAAAUGCGUAGAUAUUAGGAGGAACACCAGUGGCGAAGGCGGCUUGCUGGACGACAACUGACGCUGAGGCGCGAAAGCGUGGGGAGCAAACAGGAUUAGAUACCCUGGUAGUCCACGCUGUAAACGAUGAAUACUAGGUGUAGGGGGUAUCGACCCCCCCUGUGCCGCAGUUAACACAAUAAGUAUUCCACCUGGGGAGUACGACCGCAAGGUUGAAACUCAAAGGAAUUGACGGGGGCCCGCACAAGCAGUGGAGUAUGUGGUUUAAUUCGACGCAACGCGAAGAACCUUACCAGGGCUUGACAUCCUCUGACGGCAGUAGAGAUACUGCUUUCCCUUCGGGGACAGAGAGACAGGUGGUGCAUGGUUGUCGUCAGCUCGUGUCGUGAGAUGUUGGGUUAAGUCCCGCAACGAGCGCAAC
rnacentral:rRNA from 1 species